rnacentral:rRNA from 1 species
AUUGAACGCUGGCGGCAGGCCUAACACAUGCAAGUCGAGCGGAUGAAGGGAGCUUGCUCCUGGAUUCAGCGGCGGACGGGUGAGUAAUGCCUAGGAAUCUGCCUGGUAGUGGGGGAUAACGUCCGGAAACGGGCGCUAAUACCGCAUACGUCCUGAGGGAGAAAGUGGGGGAUCUUCGGACCUCACGCUAUCAGAUGAGCCUAGGUCGGAUUAGCUAGUUGGUGGGGUAAAGGCCUACCAAGGCGACGAUCCGUAACUGGUCUGAGAGGAUGAUCAGUCACCCUGGACCUGAGACACGGUCCAGACUCCUCCGGGGGGCAGCAGGGGGAAUAUUGGACAAUGGGCGAAAGCCUGAUCCAGCCAUGCCGCGUGUGUGAAGAAGGUCUUCGGAUUGUAAAGCACUUUAAGUUGGGAGGAAGGGCAGUAAGUUAAUACCUUGCUGUUUUGACGUUACCAACAGAAUAAGCACCGGCUAACUUCGUG